rnacentral:rRNA from 1 species
GAGUUUGAUCGUGGCUCAGAACGAACGCUGGCGGCAUGCCUAACACAUGCAAGUCGAACGUGAUCCGUGCCUUCGGGUGUGGUGAAAGUGGCGGACGGGUGAGUAACGCGUGGGAACCUGCCUGGUGGUAGGGGAUAACCGCGGGAAACUGCGGCUAAUACCCUAUGAGCCCUAUGGGGGAAAGAUUCAUCGCCAUCGGAGGGGCCCGCGUCGGAUUAGGUAGUUGGUGGGGUAACGGCCUACCAAGCCAUCGAUCCGUAGCUGGUCUGAGAGGAUGAUCAGCCACACUGGGAUUGAGAUACGGCCCAGACUCCUACGGGAGGCAGCAGUGGGGAAUAUUGGACAAUGGGCGCAAGCCUGAUCCAGCAAUGCCGCGUGAGUGAAGAAGGCCUUAGGGUUGUAAAGCUCUUUUGGCGGGGACGAUGAUGACGGUACCCGCAGAAGAAGCCCCGGCUAACUCCGUGCCAGCCGCCG